AAACUACAAAGGAAUUGACGGGACCCCGCACAAGCGGUGGAUCAUGUUGUUUAAUUCGAUGAUACGCGAAGAACCUUACCAGGUCUUGACAUCCCCCGCGAUGCUUUAGAGAUAAAGCGGAGGUAUUCGGGGAGACAGGUGGUGCAUGGUUGUCGUCAGCUCGUGUCGUGAGAUGUUGGGUUAAGUCCCGCAACGAGCGCAACCCCUAUUGCUAGUUACCAUCAUUAAGUUGGGGACUCUAGCGAGACUGCCAGUGAUAAACUGGAGGAAGGUGGGGAUGACGUCAAAUCAUCAUGCCCCUUAUGACCUGGGCUACAAACGUGAUACAAUGGCUGGAACAAGGGGAUGCGAAGCAGUGAUGUGGAGCGAAACCCAUAAAAACAGUCUCAGUUCGGAUUGAAGUCUGCAACUCGACUUCAUGAAGUCGGAAUCGCUAGUAAUCGCGGAUCAGAACGCCGCGGUGAAUACGUUCUCGGGGUUU
rnacentral:rRNA from 1 species